GAUGAACGCUGGCGGCGUGCCUAAUACAUGCAAGUCGAGCGAACGGACGAGAAGCUUGCUUCUCUGAUGUUAGCGGCGGACGGGUGAGUAACACGUGGAUAACCUACCUAUAAGACUGGGAUAACUUCGGGAAACCGGAGCUAAUCCCGGAAGAUAUUUUGAACCGCAUGGUUCAAAAGUGAAAGACGGUCUUGCUGUCACUUAUAGAUGGAUCCGCGCUGCAUUAGCUAGUUGGUAAGGUAACGGCUUACCAAGGCAACGAUGCAUAGCCGACCUGAGAGGGUGAUCGGCCACACUGGAACUGAGACACGGUCCAGACUCCUACGGGAGGCAGCAGUAGGGAAUCUUCCGCAAUGGGCGAAAGCCUGACGGAGCAACGCCGCGUGAGUGAUGAAGGUCUUCGGAUCGUAAAACUCUGUUAUUAGGGAAGAACAUAUGUGUAAGUAACUGUGCACAUCUUGACGGUACCUAAUCAGAAAGCCACGGCUAACUACGUG
rnacentral:rRNA from 1 species